rnacentral:rRNA from 1 species
UCUUAGUGGCGGACGGGUGAGUAACGCGUGGGUAACCUGCCUUGCACUGGGGGAUAACACUUAGAAAUAGGUGCUAAUACCGCAUAACAGUAGGAGACGCAUGUCUUUUACUUGAAAAUUCCGGUGGUGUAAGAUGGACCCGCGUCUGAUUAGCUUGUUGGCGGGGUAACGGCCCACCAAGGCAACGAUCAGUAGCCGGCCUGAGAGGGUGAACGGCCACAUUGGGACUGAGACACGGCCCAA